UGAGAAGUAUGCUGAGGAUCAGGUAGCAUUCUUCAACGAUUAUGCUGAAGCCCAUGCCAAGCUAAGCAACCUUGGUGCAAAAUUUGAUCCUCCAGAGGGCAUAGUAUUAGAUCCUUCUCCAAAGCCACAAGAAGAGAAGUUUGAAGCAGCAAAGUACUCAACUGGAAAGGAUUAAAAACAAGUGUCAUGUUUUCUUGUCCCAGUAUCUUCUUUUAGUAAUACAGGAAGAAGUAUUUUCAAAUCAUGUGAUAUCCAUGUAAAAUUUGGAAGUCUUAAAUGAAGAAGAAAGGAAUAAAAAAUUCAAUAGUGUGCCUAUU